UACAGAGGUCUCAAGCGUUGUUCGGAUUCAUUGGGCGUAAAGGGUGCGUAGGUGGCGCCAUAAGUCAGGUGUGAAAUCUCGGGGCUUAACUCCGAAACUGCAUUUGAUACUGUGGUGCUUGAGGACUGGAGAGGAGACUGGAAUUCACGGUGUAGCAGUGAAAUGCGUAGAUAUCGUGAGGAAGACCAGUGGCGAAGGCGGGUCUCUGGACAGUUCCUGGCACUGAGGCACGAAGGCCAGGGGAGCAAACGGG
rnacentral:rRNA from 1 species